UACGGAGGGGGCUAGCGUUGUUCGGAAUUACUGGGCGUAAAGGGCGCGUAGGCGGCUAUUCAAGUCAGGCGUGAAAGGCCUGGGCUCAACCCGGGAACUGCGUUUGAUACUGGAUGGCUUGAGUACGGGAGAGGAUGGUGGAAUUCCCAGUGUAGAGGUGAAAUUCGUAGAUAUUGGGAAGAACACCAGUGGCGAAGGCGGCCAUCUGGCCCGGUACUGACGCUGAGGCGCGAAAGCGUGGGGAGCAAACAGG
rnacentral:rRNA from 1 species